UCUCCGUAGGUGAACCUGCGGAGGGAUCAUUACCGAGCUCAUGCCCUUACGGGUAGAUCUCCCACCCUGUGUUAUUAUUACCUUUGUUGCUUUGGCGGGCCGCCAGGCUCCGGUCAGGCUAUCGGCUUCGGCUGGUAAGCGCCUGCCAGAGGACCCUAUAUCCUGAUUAUUAGUGUCGUCUGAGUACUAUAUAAUAGUUAAAACUUUCAACAACGGAUCUCUUGGUUCUG
rnacentral:misc_RNA from 1 species